rnacentral:tRNA from 1 species
GGUGGCUCAGUGGUAGAGCACUCGCCUUGCAUGCAUGAAGCCCUGGGUUCGAUUCCUUAGCACCA